UUCCGGGUCAGAGGUCGGCGAGCGCCUCCCGGCGUGCCCUCUGCCCCGGGGAGCCCGCGGCGAGGCCCCAAACUCAGUUCCAGGCGCUAUGGAAGCGCGCCGCCUCCGCUUGCGCCUCCGGGAGCUCUGCCACAGAUGCCCUCGGGCUCGGAAAACAACCCCGGUGGAAAAGGGCAAGUGCAACGUAACAGGUGUGGCCUUGGAGCCCCACGAAAGAGUGCGGAGCUGCUGGAAGUUUCGGACAGUAGGAGUUCGGCGAGAGGAAGGAACUUGACUGCCUUUGCACUGAUUCAAGCUCAGACUCUAGAACUGGAAAAGAGAAAGCUCUCUGUUAGUGUUUGCUGAAUGAACAAAAUCAUGGUUUCUCAUAAAGGAAAUGAGGAGAGAAGAAAGACUAAGAGGGUGUGGAAUGAUUGGCUAAAAGCCACAAAAAUCAACUUGCCUGUUGCUGAGUUUACUCUGGCAGUUAAGUUCCCCUUUACCCGGCCAGGAGUCUAGGCAACAUACUGUUGGUGUCUAUACGCAUCUUUCCUCCCCUUUCAACUGUGUAUCGACUCACCAUUUUUCUUAAAAGUUUACUUAUUUUGAGAGACAGAAGGAGAUAGAAUCCCAAGUAGGUGUUCCACCGUCAGUGUGGAGCCCAUCGUGGGGCUCAAUCCCACAAACCCUGAGAUCAUAAGCUCAGCCGAAAUCAAGAAUCAGAUGCUCAACCAAGUCACCCAGGCACCCCUCACCAUUUGUUUUUAACUAAAGCUUAGUUACUGAAAACUGCCACGUAUUGUGGCCUAAAAAUUUCAUGAUUCUUUAUGAGGAAAACAAUUGUAAUCUUAACUAUGUAUUACUGUUUUUUAAAACAAUUUAAUGUUCAGUUAAUGAGACGAUUUUCUUUCACAACUGACCCAAACAUCUAUAUUGUAUGUUUCUAUCAGGGCGACAUUAUAUUAUCAUUUUUAUACAUUUAAUUUUGACUAGCUGGAAUAUGGUGAGGUGAGAAGUUUCAUCAGCACUGGAGAGUCUGAUCUCUGUCUGAAAUGGUAUAAAUUCCAGGUCUGCUGCCCUCUCCUACCUUCCCCUGCACAGCAACUUGGUCCUAGACUGUCCUGAGGAUUGUUUCUCACCCUGUAUUUACCUAAUUUCUACCUAUUAUUUUUAAUAAUCCUGCCAGUUAUCUUUCUUCUAAAAGAACUCUUAUCACUCACCUGGAUUUUUAAAAUAAUGUCUCUUAAAAUACCCAUAGUCUAUUGGAAAACUUUACAAAGUCAGGAAGUAUUACUUAAGCACCUUCCCUCUUUCUCUGAUUAUUUGAUGUUAAAAUGAUGAGCUCCUCAUGUUCACAUUUGAAAAGGCUCAAUCAGAUGGUGGAUAGAGCAUGCUGGGCCCAGAAUUCAUUAAUUUAUGCCCUUAAGGCAUUAUCAUAGAUUAUUAAUAUGUAAAAGCUAAUUUUCUUAGACUUGUAAGCAGUGGUUAGCUGGAGUACAUAAAGUUACUGAAGCUAAUCACUCUAAAUGACAAGUCAAAAUGCAAAUUACACCAAAAUAUUUCACUUCAAUUAUAUCACAAUUAAGUACUUCCGCUUUCUCAGAUGUCUUCUCCGAAGAUGCUUCUGGACAAUGCCAUCAAAGAUCACAAUGAGAUGUAAUCACUCGCGUGGCCCUGCACAUGCUCUCCUUCGGUUUUAUGACAUCUCAGCUAGAAAGCACAUUUCAAUUCUAAAUUAAACUAAUCGAGAGCUCAGUAAAAAUAUACAGGCUUGUUUGCACAUUUCUUUCCAGAGUCAGGCCAUCAUAAUGGAAACACAUGGCUCAUUUUGCUUCCAAGGCCCAUAAAGGAAGAAGCAGAAGGCUAUUUGCAACGCUCAGCACAAGAAGCAAAGACUUCAUCCUGUGUAAAAAUGGCUGCUCGGGCAGUCAUUUGGGUGCUGCGAAGAUCAUAGGAUUCUUUUAUACUGCUAAUAUAUAACCAUAAGGACUCCAACAAGUAAGUCUUUAGAAGGAAGGAAGGUGAGAGGAGAGGAAGAAACCAGUUCUGAAGAGCGCAUAAAUCCUAACAGGUGUGUUGGUUCUUCGCCUUGUCAACUUCCAGCCAUAAAGAAAAUUACAGGGGAAAGGCACCCAGUGAUAUACUGUUCCGCAUUCAAGGAUCUGGAACAUAUUUUCACCUUUAAGUGGCUCCUUAAUGGAAACAUUCGAUUCAUCAUCUAUAUUUUAUACUAUACAACUGAGUGGCGUAAUUGCUUCAGAGUUCUUUGUAUGCUCGAGAAACUUUUUCAAGGGUCUAAAUAAUAUGUCGAAAGCUUUUCUUCAUCAGAGGAGAUGCAGCUGUCCUACUGAAAAGCAUUUAAAUGCAUCAUGGGAGUGGAUAACAUCAAUUAAAAAUGGAAUGGAAUAAUAUUGGACAGAUAUUGGAGUGGGUUUUACAAACAACUGUUCUCAUGAAUAUCGUGCUUCCUGGAGAGCGGAAGUGUCAUCACUUAUCUUGGGUCCAGAAUCUGUGACAUCUGUUUAAUGUCUGUCUGUAUUACCAGACGUAACAGCAAGGACUGAUGGGUCCUGCCAUCGUCUUCUUCCCUCUCCAGCAUCCAGCAUCAUGCUUGGCACAUAGCUGGUGUUCAAUACAUACGUGCCGAAUCAACGGGCAAAUCAUAGAGGCAAAGAGGAGGUCAUGUGUGAAAGGCAUGGGAGAUUUGUGAAGAUAGCGGAUCUCAUCAUUUCAGUGGGACACACAGCCAUCUGAAGCAAAGCUAACAAGUAAAAUUGUGUUUUGACAAAA